UGCCAGACUCCUACGGGAGGCAGCAGUGGGGAAUAUUGCACAAUGGGGGAAACCCUGAUGCAGCGACGCCGCGUGAGCGAUGAAGUAUUUCGGUAUGUAAAGCUCUAUCAGCAGGGAAGAAAAUGACGGUACCUGACUAAGAAGCCCCGGCUAACUACGUGCCAGCAGCCGCGGUAAUACGUAGGGGGCAAGCGUUAUCCGGAUUUACUGGGUGUAAAGGGAGCGUAGACGGCAAUGCAAGCCAGAUGUGAAAGCCCGGGGCUCAACCCCGGGACUGCAUUUGGAACUGUGUAGCUGGAGUGUCGGAGAGGCAGGCGGAAUUCCUGGUGUAGCGGUGAAAUGCGUAGAUAUCAGGAGGAACACCGGUGGCGAAGGCGGCCUGCUGGACUGCGACUGACGUUGAGGCCCGAAAGCGUGGGGAGCAAACAGGAUUAGAUACCCUAGUA
rnacentral:rRNA from 1 species